AUGACACAUUAGCGAUAGAGAGAAUUUCAAUGAGUUUGGAAAGCACCACCCACCUUGUAGGUCUAUUUAGGUGUUGUCGAUGAUUUCUUGGGAUUUUUAGACGUCUCGUUCUCUGUACCUGCGGCCAAACGAACCUUAUUAGGCCAUUUUGUUACUUCAAACUUUACUUUGACUUUUCGGUAAUGUAUAUUCCGAGCGCACCAAUGCGUCGGAAAUCCCCAAUUAGAUUUUUAGAGGGUCAAUUGCACUUAGAACCCUCAUGAGCAAAAGCCCCAAUUUGGUGCCUAGCUCCAAUACUCAUGUCAAACCUUUAGGGUUUGAUCUCAUUGGGAAGCAAAAAGUAGCUUCAUUAUGCUCUAAAUAAUCCAUUAGAACCAUUCUAGCUUUCCAAAACCCUUAGUUUGGAUUUCACCAUUGAGAGGUGGUCCAAGCUCACCUAUAAAGCAAACUGAGUUUCGAUCUCUUUAGAAGCAAAAAAAGCUUCAAAACUCUUUAUCAUUCCAUUAAAACCUUUUUAGGUUCAUUCAAGCCAUUUCUAGGUUUUACUACAUGUAGGUUAAAAGCUUACUCAAGCUUUCCUUUUCUUCAAGCUAGAGAUGAAGGAGAAGGAGUUUCUUCACUUUUCUUCUUCUUCUCCACUUCUUCCUCUCUUUUCCUUCUUUUCUUCCUUUCUUCUUCUUCUCUUUUUGUCUCUAGAGAGAAGAGGGCGAGAGAAGAGAGUGUUGGAGAGGGGUGGAAAAUGAGAGAAAAUCUCAUUUACCCCAAUACUAUACUCAAUGGGUUGCCAAAAUGCAAAAACCCCUUAUUCACUUUAAUACAUUGCCUAAACUGGGCAGUUCGCGCAGGCGGAGACCGUCUCCCGAGCAGGGACCGGUUCCCGAACGUUCACCCUGCGCAGCCAAGUCGCUGGCGCCGAUGCGACCGGUCUCUUCUCCGAGGGACCGGUCUCUGGGGACCGGUCUCUCAGACAGAGACCGGUUCCCGAGAGCUAUCCCUCAGGACUUAGUGAUUUUUCGGCUGUCUCAUUUGCACGCGUUCGGCGGACCGGUCUCUACCACCAGGGACCGGUCCCGAGAAGCUGAAAAUCUGCAGUUUUGCAGAAUUCAAUUCUUUAGCUCUCGAAAACUUUCACAACUCACUUUUAAUCAUCUUUAACACCUUCGGACUUUCGAAGUGCUCCGUCCUCGCACUUUUGGUCAAUUUGACUAAAGUUCGAUAUUUAUUUUCGAAUUUUCGGUAUAUUACAUUCUCCACCCCUUAAAAUAAUUUCAGUCCGCGAAAAUUACGCAUACCUUAACUCGUUCGAUCGAAUAGAUGCGGAUUUUUUCCCAUUGACUCCUCGAGCUCUCCAAGUGGCUUCUCGCGCCGCGGGUUGCUCCAUUGCGACUUUUCACAUAUGGAAUUUUGCGACUUCGCGCACUUUUUAACUUCUCGGAUCGAGAUGCCACGGCUGCCUCUCAUAGGACUGCUUUCAGUAUCCUAGCUCCACGGGCUCGUAUUCCAAUACAUGUGCCGCGUUUCGGAUAUACUUUCGAAGAUUCAACACAUGAAAACACAUUGUGAACUCCCGCGAGUCUCGGGGGUAGUGUCAAGCUUGUAUGCCACCGCACCCACUACGCUCCAAUAUCUCGAAUGGUCCGACAUAUCGGGGACUUAGCUUCCCCGGACCCCAAAUCGCUUAACUCUCGCAUUGGCGACACUCUCAGGAAUCACGGUCUCCAACCGCGAACUCUAAAUCUUUCUUCGCUUGUCGGCAUAACUCUUUUGCCGAGAUUGCGCCAUCACUAACCGUUGACGGGCAAGGCGAACUUUCUCUUCCGCCCCGCCACCACAUCGGGCCAAGGGUCACUCUCUCGCCCACGUCGCUCCAAUGGAUAGGAGAACGACACUUUCGACCAUAUAGUGCCUCAAAAGGCGCCAUCGUAUACUUCUUGGUAGCUGUUAUUGUAGGCGAACUCCGCCAUAGGAAGAAAUCAUGCCAUCCUCCUUUUGAUAUAAUCCAGCACACACGCUCGAAGCAGAUCCUCAAGGAUUUGUAUUGUCCGUUCUGACUGUCCAUCACCUUGAGGAUGAAACGCCUGUACUGAAGUCGACCGAUGUGCCUAGUGCGUCUUGCAAACUCUUCCAAAAACGGGAUGUGAACCUGGGGUCGCGAUCGACACGAUCCGAUACUGGAACCCCAUGAAGUCUCACAACCUCGUCGAGAUAAACUUCGCGUAGCUUGUCUCCCGACCACGGGUAUGUAUCGGCAAGAAGUGUGGCCGACUUUUGUCAGUCGAUCCACUAUCACCCAUAUCGCAUCGUGUCCGCCUUGCGAUCGAGGCAACCGGUAACAAAAGUCCAUUGCUAUAUCUUCCCAUUUCCAAACGGGGUAAUUGGUAGACUUUGUAACUUUCCCCGGAAAUCGCGGUCGGCUUUAACUUGUUGGGCACGUCAGACAUUGCGCACGAACUUCCAAUAUCUCUUUUCAUACCGGCACCAAUAGUGCUCUUUCAAGUCCUUGUACAUUUUAAGUGCCGCCGGGGUGUAUACUAUAGGAGCGAUUGAUGCGCUUCUUGCAUGAGUCGCCCUUCGUAACUCAUCAUCUUUAGGCACACACCACGAUUUCGAAAUCGAAGUGCCGCCAUCAAUUCCAACGCCAAAAUCUUCGGCUUUACCACUCUCAAAACCACCCCGAACCUUUUGAAGAUAAGGAUCCGAAGUUGUAACUCUCGAUUCUUUCCAAUAGGGUCGGUUGCACAACCAAUGUGGCAAGUGUAGCGGCACUCCCGCGCGCUACACUCCAACCCAAAUUCGUUGCAUUUCCUUCUGUAAUAGCGGGUUGAGGCGUAAUUUGCCGUCGCUAAGUUUUCGCCGAUUUUCUACUCAAGGCAUCGGCUACAACAUUGGCUUUUCCGGGGUGGUAUAAUAUUAGUGACAUCAUAGUCCUUUAGCAGCUCUAACCACCGCCGCUGUCGCAUGUUCAACUCUUUCUGGGUGAAACAAGUACUUUAGGCUCUUGUGAUCGGUAUAUACCUCACAAUGUUCCCACAUCAAGUAAUGCCUCCAAGCUUUAGCGCGAAAAUCAACCGCGGCUAACUCCGAGUCGUGAAUCGGGUAGUUCUUCUCAUAGCUCUCAAGUUGGCGCGAUGCAUAUGCAAUAACUCGCCUAUUUUGCAUUAAUACACACCCCGAGACCAACAUACGAGGCAUCACUGUACAUAACAAAGGUCUCGCGGUGUUGCAAGGCAAAGCACCGGGGUCGACGUCAACCUGUUCUUUACUCCUCGAAGCUUCGCGAUCCGACUCGUCUCACACGUACUUACUCCUUUAUGGGUAAGGCGCCGUUAGUGGAGUGGUUAUUUUGGCGAACCCCUCCACGAACCGCGGUAGUAAUCGCCAGUCCAAGAAAACUGCGGAUCUCCGCUACUUUCGUUGGCGAGGCCAAUCCUUGAUCGCCUCUAAUUUCUUCGGGUCUACGAAACUCCGUCGCCCGAUACACAUGACCCAAGAAUGUGACCUCCUUUAGCCAAAAGUCACAUUUCUUUAACUUUGCAUAGAGCUUCUCUUGUCUGAGUAUUUGCAACACAGCUCUCAGAUGCUCUUAUGUUCCUCUUCGCUUUUCGAAUAGACCAAUACGCCGUCUAUGAACACCACGACGCAUCGAUCAACAACGGCCUAAGACUCGAUUCAUCAAGGUCCAUAAAUGCUGCCGGGGCAUUAGUAAGCCCAAACGGCAUAUACGUUACUCAUAAUGGCCAUACGCGUACGAUACGCUUGUUUUAUGCAACAUCCUUCGCUGAUCUUUAACUGAUGAUACCCCGAUGGAGAUCAAUCUUCGGAGUCACCUUGGACCUUGGAACUAUCGAAUAGAUCGUCAAUUUUGGCAUGGGUACUUGUUCUUUAUCGUCAUUUUUAUUCAACUCGCGAAAUCUACGCAAGUCGAAGUGUACGUCCUUUUUUCUUCAAAUAAGCACGCGAGCUCCCCACGGUGACACAUCGGUCCGCACGAAGCCGCUUAUCGAGCAAGUAGUUGUAAUUGACCUUUUAGCUCCUUUAACUCCACCGGUGCCAUUCUAUACGGAGCCUUCGAAACUGGUUUCGCCCCGGGAAUCAAGUCAAUGACAAACUCAACUUCCCGGUCCGGUGGCAGUCCUGGUAAACUCCGCGAACACAUCCGGAAACUCGCACACUACCUCGGACAUUCCCCAACUCUGUAUACUCUUUCGAGCAUCUACCAUGGUUGCCAAAUUAGGCUUACACCCUCCUCUGAUCAUUUUCUUCGCCCUCACAGCGAUAUGGUGCGCGAAGCGCCUACUUUUGCACGCUUGGUAGACUAACUUCUUCUUGAUUAGGCUCACGAAAAGUGAUCACCUUGCUUUCACAAUCUAUCACGCGUAAUUACUUCGAGAGCCAGUUGGUCCCAAGAUAACAUCAAACCACAUCUGAUCUGCACUAGCCAGAUCAAUCGCAUAUCCAAUCGCUAUUUCGACUGGACACGCCAAACACUCAUUAUGGACACUGAAUGAAUGCUCUGGAGCGUUCACCACCAGUAAUCCUCAUGUGUACCAUCUCUAUGCAUGCUUGUUUUAGCAAACGAAGAGCUAAUGAUGAAUGAGAUGCGCCUGUGUCAAACACUGCUCUGGCUCUAGUGCCUUUAAUCACAAUUAUACUGCCACGGACGUCGUGGGUGCUGCAGGUUGUUGCUCCUCCACCUGAGCGGCAAAGAUCGGCGCUCGGGGCUCUCGAUCCUCGGCUGACGCGGUGAUGACGCGGCGCCAGCCGACAUCGCCGGUGGUAUACCCCGCAAGCUGUCUCGGGGUAGACGGUUUGAAGCCGCCGUUGCGCAGCAGAUGACGUCCACGCCGGGCCAUCCCGGAUAAGAAUGUCCCGGUUGGCCACACUUGAAAACAUUUGCCGUCUCGCUGGGGGGCAAGUCGACACCUUGUGUCACCACCACAAUAGACACAUCGAUGGUCGUCUCCAGUUCCUCGACUGCUGUCGGGGAUAACGAGGGGGUUUCUUCAGCAUUUGGCCGGCCCCGGCACACCCGCGGCGUCUCUUUUGCCUUUGUUCCUUGGGACUCGCCAUAGUUCUGCUUCUUCACGUACAAUGGGCGUACCGUGCUCCGCGACAAAGCUCGAUCAAAGACUCCGUCAACGGUCAUAGCUCAAAAUCUGUACUUCUUUCAUAAUCCAGGGGUUGGAGUCCUCGCAAGAACCAAUCCGCCCGUCCGAUCAUCACGAACAACUUCGGGAACACAGGUCGAAUAAUGUGGGAGAAUUCUUUGCUCAUACUCUCCACGAUCGAUCGCCUUGUUAACUUGCGCGUGCUCUUGUAGCUUCCGCUUCAACGUGUCGGGAAGUAGUUGCGAAACCGCUCUUUUGAACUCUCACCAAGCAUGAGUGGGAGAUCGGCAGGCGAUCCCGCUUAACUCGCUUUCCACCACAACCGUCGCCGCCUUCCUAAACAAUGGUGCGAGGUACACUUUAUCCUUCUCCAAGGUAUCAAAUCCUCGAGAGCGUCUCCAUUGAGUCGAUCCACGACUCCACGAUCGCGGCUCCACCAAACCGCGCCUCGAAGGUAGGUGGGUCGAACUUCUUGAACUGAAUGAGAGCGCCAGAGUGCGCUCUCGCUCCGCAUCGUGCCGCGCUAUCGCGGAUUCGAGGUUCCCGCCGGCCGGGACUAGACUACCGUAACUGUGACUAGUCGCCCCUGCCGCCGCUCCUCAACAACAGACCGGGCAUACCACAGGGUGACGGCGCGGACAUGCUCACGCCGCUGGUGCGCCGCGCUGCUGGCGCUCCAAGGUCUCCUGGCAGCGAAUGAUCUGUUCCCCCUGGCGUUGAACAGACUCCGUCUGUUGCCGCACUCUCGAGUAAGCGCGCCAUUUUGAUCCCUAAGCUCACAGUCCACUCGCUCGGUUGCGUCAGGCACCGCGUUCGCUUCCUCAGCAUCGAUCCUUGUUGCGAUCCGACGUCAGAGCAUUGUUCCUGAAGAAGCCACACGCAUGUAGUUACUUGACCACUUUAUCUUAAACCAACCAUUAGGCGACAGAACAAUGCACAUUCAUCCUAUGCCUCAAGCAUCAUUUCGUCGCGCGCCCGAUCAACACUAGAUAGUAAAGGAUAACACGAAAAUAAUUAGCUCUUUAAUCACAUCUGGGAGACGUCCCUGACUUAACCAAUCACAUGCUUUCGCUAACUUGAUUCCAGGUCACUCACGUUUCCUAGAUCCUUAAAGGUCUUUCAAUCCCUAAGGGUUGUCUAGGUACCAUUCUUUAUAUCUAAUCACUAUUGGCUUCUGACCAACUGUAGUCGUCACGCCCCGGGACAGAUGCCAAUUUGGCCCGACCCGAGCACGUCAAACAGACGCCGAACGGACAGGUUGUCCCGAUCCGCCAAGGCUAUCACAUGUACAUUUCAAUAAGAAGUGCGACUAGCGGAACUACACAAACGCUUACACGAGGCGUAAGCAAUAGCCAUUAUGUGAAAGAAAAAGGAAACUAAACAUUCUCAGUAAUAUGAUUCUUUUGACAUCAUACAUUGCAUUCAUCUAUAAUUUAAACGAAUUCUUACAUUCCAAAAUCCUUUACAUUCUUUCAUCAUUUCUUUUACAUACAUUUACUUCAAAUGACAACUAUUCUUUUCUUACUUUGCUUUCACAUCAGCAUCUUAAAUCAUCAAAUACAAAGAUGAUAAGGGGAAACUACUAACAAAAUGCUUAACCCAACUCCGUGGCUCUGACUACGGUGCGAUACUUUACGCGGUUCGUCGCCGGCUCGCUCGUCCGGCUCUCGUGAAAAUAGUGGGGUGAGAACUUUACAAACAAGUUACCCAGUGGGUUCGCCCAACGAUCACCGACUUUCCACUACGGACUAACUCAGGCAUAAUAGAAAGAUAAGUAGAGAUUAUUAGUAACAAAUCUGGAUAAUGAUGCUAUAUGCCUGAACAAACUAAAGCGAAUUAUGCUCAACAUUAAAGAGAUGCAGUUUAUGCAUGUUUCUAUUCGUUCUUUACACUUUAGCUUUGUUCUUUGCCUGUUCUUUAAUCUUAGGUAGCUGAGGGUUUCGCCCACGUUUACUUGCUUCACAUUAGUCCAUCAUCGCAGGAAUCACCGCUAGGACCGUCCUUACGGCCGUACUCCAACCCGGAAGCAUAACUCCGGAGGCAGUCGCCGAGGAGGGAGCGACGCCUCGAGCACGGAAAUCUAGCAAGUAUAUCGAAUCCUUAUACUCAGAAGCGAUUUAUAAGUUCAAUCUUGACUUUACACUAGCUUCUAGUUUCUUUACGAAUUCACUUUAUUGUUGCAAACUCAUGCAAUGCACAUUCUUUACGUUUCUUUUUUUUUGCUAACUCUAAGCAAUUAUAUUGCUUUAUUCCCCAGCAUGGUACGUUUAACUUUAGGACAAUUGUCUAUUUCAUCAUUGCUUUACGAUACUUGUAUCUUUUGCAUCACACUAACGUCUAGUGUCUUUUACUGUAAUUUUCAAAUGCCACGUCGAUCUAUGGUUCAUUGUGCGCACUCUUGUUCUCUUUUGCUCAAGGUUGGAGUGUCACAAUUUUCUCUAUGCAUACAUCUAGGGUUUGAAUUUAUUAAGGUUCUCACCAAUCUCAUCGCAAGUUGUGCUCCAAUAUGCAAUAUCACAUUUCAUCAUAACGUUUACCCGUAAAUGCAAUGCAAAAUAGAUAGAAAAUAUGCUCAAAGAAUGACAAUUAGGAUAGAAGAAUUUCAAUGAGUAUUGGAGCCACCCACUUGUAGUCUAGUUUAGGUGGCUGCGAUGAUUUUCUUGGGAUUUUUAGACAGUCUCUUCUUUACCGCUGGCAAAACGAACCUUAUUAGGCCUUUUGUUCAUAACUUUACUUUGAACGUUUUCGUCAAAUGUUAUUCCAGAGCGCACCAAUGCGUCUCGGAAAUACCCCAAUUUAGAUUUUUAGAGGCGGUGCGAAUUGACUUAGAAGACCUCUGAGCAAAGCGCAUUGGUGGACCUAGCUCAAUACUCAUGUCAACUAGGGUUUGUCUUCAUUGGGAAGAAAAGUAGCUUCAUUUAUGGUCGAUAAUAAUAUUAGAAUUUCUAGGACUUUCCCAACCCUAGUUUGGAUUCACCAUUAGAAGUGCGUCCAGAGCUACCUAUAAAGCAAAAACUAGGUUUCGAUGUCUUUAGAAGCCAAAGAAAGCUUCAAAACUCUUAAUCAUUCCAUUAAACCCUUUUUAGGUUCAUUCAAGGCCAUUUCUAGGCUUUUUAUACUUAGGGUUAAAGCUUACCUAGCUUUCCACUUGGUUCUUCACAAGAUAGGAGAUGGAGGAGAAGGAGUUUCUCACUUCUUCUUCUUCUUCUCACUUUGCUCUUUUCUUUUCCUUCUUUUCUUCAUUUUUCUUCUUUCUCUUUUGAUCUCUAGAGAGAGAGAGGGAGAGAGAAGAGGUGUGGAGGGUGAAAAGUGGGAGAGAAAUUCAUUUACCCAUCCUAUUACUCAAUAGCUGUUGCAAAAUUGAAAUAAACCCUCUUACUUUCACUUUAAUACGACUGCUAAACUGCGCAGAUUCGCGCAGGCGAGACGGUCUCCCGAGCAGGACCGGUUCGCAACGUUCACCUGCGCAGCAGGUCGCUUGGCGCGCGAUGCGACGGUCUCUCUCGAUGGGACCGGUCUUGGGGACGUCUCUCAGACAGAGACGAUUCCCGAGAGUAUACCCUCUAGGACUUAGCGAUUUUUCGGCUGUCUCGAUUUGCACUGCUUCGGGAGCGGUCUCUCCAACAGGACGGGUCCCGAGAGCUGAAAAUUGAGUUUUGCAGAAUUCAUUCUUUAGCUCUCGAAAAUCCUUCACAAUCACUUUUAAUCAUUUUAACACUUCGGACUGUUCCGAAGGGCUCGUCUCGCACUUGGUCAUUUGACUAAAGUUCGAUAUUUAUUUUCCGAAUUUUCGGUAUAUUACAAUACAUCUUGGUGCCGCCUGGGUGAAUGCUAUAGGGAGAUUGAUGCGCUUCUUGCAAAAUCACCCUCCGAAGACUGUCGUCCUUGGGCACGCACCAACGAUCCCGAUAUCGUAGUGCGCCGUCGGUCCCAAUGCCAAACUCAUCGGCACUACCGCUCUCAACUUUGCCCCGCACCUUUCGGAGAAAUUCAUCGGAAGUUUGCAAUCCUUUUAUCUUCUCCAACAAGGUUGGUUGCACAAUCAGUGUGGCAAGUGUUGCCGGCACUCCCUGCGCCACAACCUCAAGUCCAAACCGUUGCAUCUCCUUUUGCAAAGCCGGUUGAGGUGUAAUUUUCGUCGCCAAAUUCUCCGCCGACUUUCUACUUAGAGUAUCGGCCACGACGUUUGCUUUUCCGGGGUGGUAGAGAAUCGUGACAUCAUAAUCCUUGAGCAACUCUAACCACCGUCGCUAUCGCAAGUUUAACUCUUUCUGGGUGAACAAGUAUUUGAGACUUUUAUGAUCGGUGUAGAUCUCACAAUGUUCCCCAUAUAAUAAUGCCUCCACAAUUUUAGCGCAAAAAUAACCGCCGCUAGCUCAAGAUCGUGAGUCGGGUAGUUCUUUUCAUAACUCUUCAACUGGCGCGAAGCAUAAGUUAUGACUCGGCCGUUUUGCAUUAAGACACACCCGAGACCAAUAUAUGAAGCAUCACUGUAUAUGACAUAAUUCUCUCCCGGUGUCGGCAAGGCAAGCACCGAAGUAGAUGUCAGUCUAUUCUUUAGCUCCUCAAAGCUUCACUCACACUCGGGGCUCCAAACACACUUCACCCCUUUGUGCGUAAGGUGCGUUAGUCGAGUUGUUAUCUUGGCAAACCCCUCCACGAGCCGCCGGUAGUAGCCUGCAAGUCCAAGGAAGCUACGAAUUUCCGCCAAACUUGUCGGGCGAGGCCAAUCUUUAAUCGCGUCAACUUUCUUUGGCUCCAACGAGAUGCCAUCUCCGGAUAUAACGUGACCCAAGAAAGUAACCUCCGAAAGACAAAACUCACAUUUCUUCAGUUUUGCAUAAAGAUUUUCCUUCCGGAGUAUCUCCAACACGAGUCGUAAAUGCUCUUUGUGUUCUUCUUCAGUCUGAGAAUAUACCAAUAUGUCGUCAAUGAAUACCAUGACGCACCAGUCCAAUAGCGGAUGGAAGACUCUAUUCAUUAGGUCCAUAAAUGCCGCCGAGGCAUUAGUGAGCCCGAAUGGUAUGACCGUAAACUCAUAAUGGCCAUACCGCGUACGGUACGCCGUUUUAUGCACAUCAUUGGGCCGUAUCUUCAACUGAUGAUACCCCGACUGCAGAUCAAUCUUAGAAUACACCCUUGACCAUUGCAACUGAUCGAACAGAUCAUCAAUCCUCGGCAACGAGUACUUGUUCUUGAUCGUCACCUUGUUCAACUCGCGAUAAUCAACGCAGAGUCGAAGUGUGCCGUCCUUCUUCUUUACAAAUAGCACCAGAGCUCCCCACGGAGACACGCUCGGCCGCACGAAGCCUUUAUCGAGCAAGUCUUGCAACUGGGCUUUUAGCUCCUUAAGCUCUACCGGUGCCAUUCUAUACGGAGCCUUCGAAACUGGCGUCGCCCCGGGAAUCAGGUCAAUGACAAACUCGACUGUCCGGUUCGGUGGCAAUCCCGAUAACUCCGUCAGAAAUACAUCCGGGUACUCGCAUACCACAAGAAUCUUUUCCAACUCCGGGUACUCCCCUUGAGAAUCUACGAUGGUCACCAAGUAGGCCUUACAACCACCUUUGAUCAUCUUCUUCGCCCUCACCGAUGAUAUUGGUCGCCGCAAAGCGCGCACCAUUACACGCCUUAUAAACCAUCUCCUCUUGGUUAGGCUCACGAAAAGUGAUCACCUUCCUUUCGCAAUCGAUAACCGUGUAAUACUUGGAGAGUCAAUUGGUACCCAAGAUUACGUCAAAGCCCCACAGAUGCUUCAACACCAAUAGGUCGAUUGGCAUAAUCCAAUCGCCUAUCUGUACUGGGCAGUCCAAACACUCGUCAUGCACAUGAAACGUAAGUCCAGGUGCUGUCACCGUCCAAUAAUCCUCAUAAUGCGUGACCUCUAUGUCAUGNAUUACGUCAAAGCCCCACAGAUGCUUCAACACCAAUAGGUCGAUUGGCAUAAUCCAAUCGCCUAUCUGUACUGGGCAGUCCAAACACUCGUCAUGCACAUGAAACGUAAGUCCAGGUGCUGUCACCGUCCAAUAAUCCUCAUAAUGCGUGACCUCUAUGUCAUGAGCUAGUGCAAAUGAUGCUGUUAUGAAUGAUUGGGAUGCACCUGUAUCAAAUAUGGCUCUAGCUCUAGUGCCUCUGAUAAGGAUAAUACCUACCACGACGUCGUCGGGAACGGUAAUCGGCAGCUCCUCCACCUGAGUGGCAAAUACCCGCCCACUAGGUGCUCGAGAGGCCUCCGGCUGACGAGGCGCCGACGAUCGUCCAGCAGGCAUAGCGGGUGGCAGUCCCGCCAGCUGUCGCUGAAUAUACUGAACUGAAGCUGAUGACGAAGCUGGGGAUGCGCUACCCGGGCACCUCGGCCUAUGUGUCCCGGUUGGCCGCAUCGGUAACACCGCCUAUAGCACACUGGACCUGUGCAAAUUGCCAGGUUCGAGUGUUUGAUAUGGAUUCCGAACUUUUCCACACUUGGUGGAAGGUCGUAGAUGAUAUUCCGACCUAAAAGUUCGAUUCCUAGAGUUUUGAUAUUGUCCUGAGAGUUUUCACUCUCGGGGACCAGUCCCUGAUAGGAGAGACCGGUCCCCUCAGAACAGUGUCGCGGCAGCCUGCGAGGCAACCGGUCCCUGGCGGCUGAGACCGAUCCCCGAGCGCGUCUACGCGGGGAGAGACUGGUCCCAUACGGGGAGAGACCGGUUCCCGAACGUUGGAUUUUCGGGGCAGGCUGAGAGACCGGUUCCAGGUCGGGGAGACCGGUCCCUCAGUCCGAAAACUGCCCAGUCCGGGCAGUGCACAGUAUUGAUUAUUGAGGGACCUAAGUCGAUUUUUUUUUACUUAGGAUGGCUUAUAUGGUCCUCUCUCUUACUCGCACUCUCAUUUCUCUCCCUCACACCCACUCUAGAGAGAGAAAGAGAAGGAGAAGAAGAAGAAGGAGAGGAGAGGAGCUUACUUGGAGGCCUUGGAGCAUCAUUUUCUACCUCAUUUCUCACCUUUGGUGGCUUAGAGCUUGCGGUUGGAGCUUUGUGGAGGAUCAAACUUCAACCCUACUUGGUUUAGAGCUUGGAUUGGAGCUUCUCUUGAGGUUGGUAGCUUGUAUUUCCCAUUUAAUACAAGUUUUUCUAGAUUUUGCUAGAUGAAACCCUAGUUUUAAAAUUUAAGGUUUAUUUUGGAGAUUUUCGAUUUGAAGGCUUUGAAACCUAAUUGAUGGGUUUAGAACCUUUAUUUAGGUUGGGUUUGAUGAACUCUAACUCCCAUUUGGAGCUUGAGAGAAGAUUUCUUCACCUAGCUGAGUUUUUCUCCACCUUAGCCUAUGUUGGUUAAUGAUCGAUCACUUGGGUGUUCGUAAGGUUCGCUUGACUCUCUUUUCUAUACCUUUAGGGUACUAGGAGAGUGGUGGACACCUUCGUCGGAGCUUACGAAGGGUUUCGGUAACUUCGGUGGGUUUGACUUUAUGAAAUCGGGGCGAAAUGGCUCCUAAGUAUUCUAUACUUAUCGUAACGUCAAUUUGAUUGCAUAUUCAUGUUAAAUGGGAUUUAUGUGAAUUUUAGAACACUUAAAAUGCAUACCUUAUGUAUUAUGAAAAUUUCACUCUAUAUAGUAGGGCAUUCUGGGCAUUUUUGCAUGCGUAUGGGAAGUGUUCGUGUUAGCGACUUGGAAACAUGUCUCUUAUGUUAGAAUUUGCUCAAAUUAUGCAUUUGUAAACAAUAAACUCAUGUUUGGACUUAGUGGGCAAAAAUGCCAUAAAGAGGCACUUGAUAUAGUAAACGGUGAGACUGCAACAUAGAGACAUAGUGAUAGGCCAUUGAACAUCUGCUAUAUUCCAUGUUAGAGACAUGAUGACAUAGAGAUAGGCCUUUGGGACAUUCGACGUAUAUUCCAUGUUUUAGACAUGAGGACUUGGUACUUGAGACAGAUCUUUCGCUUGCUUGCCAUUGUAUUCAUUCGCACAUGCUUGUGAGGGUCGCUCCCUACAAGCCGGCACUCCGGAGAUAGCCAUCGCGACUUAUGCUCGCUCGUGCGGGAUUGGGCGCCGAAAUGGGAUGCCGUGGGGGAGGCUCAUUUCUAGAGUGGGGAUGUUGACUACCACGGGGCCAUUAGGCACGGCGCAGGCCGGACUACCCACGGGUAGGUCCUACAGGAUUGGAUCAUUGAUGACUUAGCAUACCGACUGGACAUUCACUAGAAUAGUAAACAAGACAUUUUACUAUUUAGCUUGUGAACAUCAUGCUAGUGAUACUUUGGUACUUUCAUGUUAGAAUAGUCUUUUAUUACUUAUGCAAAUUCAUGCUAAGUAGAGAUAUUAUGUUGUUUUACUUACAUAUCGAUUCUAUUGCUUUUAUUGUUACUUACCUGUUUAGCUCAUUUGGGCCUAGUGGUGCUUUCACUGAAGUUAGUAAUUGCCUACUGGGAACUAUUAUUUAAUAGUUCUCACACCCCUAUUUCUAUGUUUCCUUUUUAGAGCCCUCUGCACCGGCGGAGGCACGGGAUCGCGGCAAGGGGAUCGCUAGCUAGAUAGCGAGGAUUUACUGUUGCCUAGGUGGUUUUCUCUCUUUUUGUUGUCGUUGAGAGAGAGAGAGGUUUUGUAUCAAUGUAUAGAGACCACCUAUGUAUUUACUUAUAGUACUUGUUUCGGGAUUCUUCUUGUACUACUUUAUGUUUUCAUCUAGUGGAUUUUAGUUUAUGGUUCUUUUUCUCUAUUGUAGCAUCUAGAUAUACUUGCUCUGAUACUCCUAGGUGUUCUCUUUUUACUGCUUCAUUUAUCGUUUUGUUUUAGACGCCUUAUAUGUUUUAGACAUAUGGCGGGUCUGGACACGCGCCAGGCGGGCUUCCGCUGAGUCCUGGGGCGUGACAGAUUAGUUUUGUAUCAGAGCCUAGGGUUGAGUCUUAGUGGACCUAGCAAACCUUAAACCGGUUGGACUAUAGGAAAUAGGCUCGUGAGAGACGGGUCAAAUUGACUUGUAAGCGAAAGUAUCGUGAUUGGGUAUCUUGAUAACUCUAGAAAGUGGAGUUAAAUUAAAGUGUAUAGCUCCUAACUUUGCGGAGGGUUACGCUGGCCCUGGCUGCCCGCGGGGAAAGCUCUCUGGUCCCGAGGCGUGACAGAUAUAGUGGUAUCAGAGCCAAAGUGAAAGAAUAGGAAUGGACCUAGAGACCCUUAGAAUUGGAAGACCUUAAGGAUCUAGGAAACGCGAGUGACGUGGAAUCAAAGUUAGCGAAAGCAUGUGAUUGGGUCAAGUUGUAAAGUCUCUAAUGUGAUUAGAGGUUAAGUUUGAAUUGAUGCUCAUUCUCUACUCCUUGUUUUGUGUCGGGCGGCCGACGACAUAAUGCUUGGGGCGAGAAUGAAUGUGUAUGUUUGCUUUCGACGAGUUGGGUAUGAAUGAGUAAUGUUGGUCAUGUAGCUAAUGCGAAUUGCUUCUUUCCAGGAAGCAAUGGCACCUCGUGGUUGACUGCAGACAAGGUCGAUGCCUGAGGAGUCGAAUGCGGCACCCGAGCGAUCCGGAGCGAGUGGCGACGGAGAGCUUCGGGAGCAAAUGGCCGCGCUUAUAGGCGUAGUGCGGCAACAAGCAGAGUCUAUUCAACGCCAAGGGGAGCAGAUUCAACGGCUCCAGAAGGCCUUGGAGCGUCAGCAAGUGGAGGCGACCCAGGCGGGUGUCGAGCAUGUCGCGCCCCUGCGGUAGUGCCGAGCGUAUUUGAGGGAGCAGCGGCAGCGGCGGCUGUGCCCGUCACGGUAGUAUCGGCCGGAUCGGGAACCUCAAAUCCCGAUAGUGCGGCGGUAGAGGCAGAGCGAGAGCGCGCGUUGGUAGCUCUCAUUCAGUUCAAGAAGUUCGAUCCACCUAUCUUCAAAGGCGGUUUGGCGGAACCAGCGGUCGUGGAGUCAUGGAUCGACUCGAUGGAAACGCUCUUCGAGGACCUAAAUACCUCGGAGAAGGAUAAAGUGUACCUCGCCACCCAUUGUCUCGAGAAGGCGGCAAUGGUGUGGUGGAAGCGAGUCAAGCGGGAUCGACCUGUCGAUCUUCCGCUUAUGCUGUAAGAGGAGUUCAAGCGAGCGGUAUACGCAAACUACUUCCCCGACACGGUGAAGCAGAGACUACAAGAGAAGUUCCGCAAGUUGAGACAGGGUGACCGAUCGGUGGGAAAAUAUGAGCAAGAGUUCACUCACAUUAUCGACUGCGUUCGCGAUGUUGUUCGAGAUGAUCGGGAUCGGGCUGAUUGGUUCUUGCGAAGACUCCAGCCAAGGAUCUGUGAGAAGGUGCAAAUUCUGAAGCUUACGACCUUUGCGGAGGUCUUUGAUAGAGCUUUAUGGGCGGAGCACGGUAGCGCCCACGUUCGAGAGGAACGGGAGGCUAUGGCCGAGACGAAGGACAAAGGCAAGAAGCGAAUGGCAGGCGGUGCCGGGGGCCGGCCGAAUGCUAAGAAACCUCCUCGGUAUCCCCGACAACAGUCGAGGAACUGGAGACCACCUCAAUGCGUCAUAUGUGGCGAAGAGCACCGAGUGUCGUCUUGCCCGCAGCGAGAUGGCAAAUGUUUUAAAUGUGGCCAACUGAGACAUCUUAUCCGGGAGUGCCCGAGCUGGACGUCGUCUGCGCCGACGGCAGCAUCAGCACCGACUACCCCGAGACAACUUGCGGGGUUGCCACCAGCGAUGUCGGCUGGGCGCACAUUGUCACCGCGUCAGCCGGAGGGAUCGAGAGCACCUAGCAGACGGGUUUUUGCCGCUAAGGUAGAGGAGCAGCCUGCAGCACCCGACGAUGUCGUGGCAGGUAUAGUUAUGAUUAAUGGCACUAGAGCUAGAACACUGUUCGAUACUGGUGCAUCACGUUCAUUUGUAAGCGCAUUAUUUGCAAAAACGCAUGGCAUAAAAAUGACACAUAAUGAGGACUAUUGGUGGGUAAAUGGUCCCGGGACGGCGCCAGUUUCGAAGGCUCCGUAUAGAAUGGCACCGAUGGAGUUAGUGGAGCUUAAGGCCCAAUUGCAAGACUUGCUCGAUAAAGACUUCGUGAGGCUGAGUGUGUCACCGUGGGGAGCUCCGGUGCUAUUUGUGAAAAAUAAGGAUGGUACGCUUCGACUCUGCGUGGAUUAUCGCUAGUUGAACAAAGUGACGAUAAAGAACAAGUACCCGUUGCCUAGGAUUGACGAUUUAUUCGAUCAGUUGCAAGGGUCAAAGGUGUAUUCGAAGAUUGAUCUCUAGUCGGGGUAUCAUCAACUAAAGAUUAGAUCGAAGGAUGAGCACAAAACGGCGUACCGUACGCGGUAUGGCCAUUAUGAGUUCACGGUAAUGGCGUUUGGGCUUACUAAUGCCCUGGCAGCAUUUAUGGACUUGAUGAACCGAGUCUUUAGGCCGUUGUUGGACCGGUGCGUCGUGGUGUUUAUAGACGACGUAUUGGUUUACUUGAAAAGCGAGGAGGAGCAUGAGGAGCAUUUAAGAGUUGUGCUGCAAUUACUCAGACAAGAGAAGCUCUAUGCUAAGUUGAAUAAGUGUGACUUUUGGCUAAAGGAGGUCACAUUCUUAGGUCAUGUGGUAUCGGGCGACAGAGUUUCGGUAGACCCGAAGAAAGUGGAGGCGAUCAAGGAUUGGCCUCGUCCGACAAACGUAGCGGAGGUCCGCAGUUUUCUCGGACUUGCGGGCUAUUACUGGCGGUUCGUGGAGGGGUUUGCUAAAAUAACUACUCCACUAACGCGCCUUACCCAUAAAGGAGUAAAGUACGUGUGGAGCGACAAUUGCGAUCGAAGCUUCGAAGAGUUGAAGAACAGGUUGACGUCAACCCCGGUGCUUGCCUUGCAGACCCCGGGGGAGAUUUUUGUGGUGUAUAGUGAUGCCUCGUAUGUCGGUCUCGGGUGUGUACUAAUGCAAAAGGGGCGAGUCAUUGCAUAUGCAUCACGCCAAUUGAAGAGUUACGAGAAAAACUACCCGAUUCAUGACCUUGAGUUAGCUGUGGUGAUCUUCGCGCUAAAGCUAUGGAGGCAUUACCUACAUGGUGAGCAUUGUGAAGUCUACACAGAUCACAAGAGUCUCAAAUACUUGUUCACCCAGAAGGAGUUGAGUAUCCGACAGCAGCGGUGGUUAGAAUUGUUGAAGGACUACGAUGUCACUAUGUUAUACCACCCCGGGAAAGUAAAUGUCGUUGACGAUGCUUUGAGCAGAAAAUCAGCGGAUAACCUAGCGACGGCAAUUACGAGUCAACCCUUUUUGCACAAGGAAAUGCAAAGGCUUGGGUUGGAAGUAGUAGCGCCGGGAGUGCCGGUUAUUCUUGCCGCAUUAAUUGUGCAACCAACCCUAUUUGAAAGGAUUAAUGAGUUGUAGGCAUCGGACCAUUACCUCCAAAAGGUUCAAGGUGAAGUUGAAAGUGGAAGUGCCGAGGACUUUGGCAUUGAAGCCGAUGGCGCACUCCGAUUUCGAAAUUGUUGGUGCGUGCCUAAAGAUGAUGAUAUUCGAAGGGCGAUUAUGCAAGAAGCGCACCAAUCCCCUUAUAGCAUACACCCUGGUGGCACUAAAAUGUAUCAAGAUCUAAAAGUAUACUAUUGGUGGCGAGGCAUGAAGAAAGAUGUUGGGGAGUUCGUGGCGUAGUGUCUCACGUGCCAACAAGUUAAGGCGGAGCGCCGGUUUUCAGCGAGAAAGCUGCAAAGUCUAUCAAUACCCGUUUGGAAAUGGGAAGAUAUAGCGAUGGACUUUGUUACUGGUUUGCCUCGAUCGCAAGGCGAACACGAUUCGAUAUGGGUGAUAGUGGAUCGACUGACGAAGUCAGCUCAUUUCUUGCCGAUUCACACCACGUGGUGUCACGCCCCGGGACCGAUGCCAAUUUGGCCCGACCCGAGCACGUCAAACAGACGCCGAACGGACAGAGUUUUUCCUAUCCGCCCAAGGCUCAUCACAUGUACAUUUUCAACAAUAGAGAAAAGCACUAGCGGAAACAUACACAAACGGCUUACACGAGGGUAAGCAAUAGCCAUUAGUGAAAGAAAAAGGAAACUAAACAUUCACAAGUAAUAUGAUUCAUUUUAGAUCAUAUACAUUGCAUCCAUCUAAUAAUUUAUCGAAUUCUUACAUUCAUUACAUCAUUUCAUCAUUUCUUUCUUACAACACAAUUACCUCAAAAUAAGCUUUACAUUCUUUCUUUAUAUCACUAAUCAUCAAAUACAAAAGAUGAUCAUAAGGUACUUUACUACAAAAUGAAACCCAACAUUGGUGGCCUCUGACUAAGCGCUAUACCUUUACCUCCGUCGCUCGCCGGCUCGCUCGGUCCCGGCUCUGUGGAAAUAGUGGGUGAGAACUACAACAAAGUUCCCACGUGGGUUCGGCCCCAACAUCACCGACUUUCCCACAGGACUAACUCAGGCAUAAUAGAAAGGAUAAGUAGGAUAUAGUAACCAAUCUAUAACAUGAUGUAAUAUGCCUGAACAAAUAGCAAGAAAUAUGCUCAACAUUAAAUAUAUGCAGAUUAUGCAAAUUCUUUAUUCUUUCACUUUACUUUACUCUUUGUUCUUUACACUUUGUCUUUGCUCUUUGUUCUUUAAUCUCAAGGGUAACCAGGGGUUUCACCACAUUAACUUGCUUCACAUUAAGUCCAUCAUCGAGGAACUCACCAGCUAGGACCGUCCUUACGGGUUUACUCCAACCGGAUUCAUAACUCGGAGCGCAUCGCCCGAGGGGGAGUGACCGCCCUCGAGCACGGAACUCAUAGCAAGUAUGGUCGAAUCCUUAACUCAAAGAUUUAUAAGUUCAAUCUUGACUCUACACUAGCUCUAGUGUUCUUUAUAUCACCUUAUGUUGCAAACUCAUGCAAUCACUCUUACAUUUCUUUACUUUGCUAACUCUAGCAAUUAUAUUCUUUACAUUACAUUGGUUCUUUGCAUCACACUAACUCUAGUGUCUCUUUACCAUACAUUUUCAAAUGCCACUCAUCUAUGUCCAUGUGUCCACUCUGUUCUUUUGCUCACUUUGGGUGCUCACUUUUUCUCAUGCAUACACAUAGGGUUCUCGACAUUUACAUAGUUCUCAUUCAUCAUAUUAUGCAAGAUGUACUCACAAUCAUGCAACAUCACAUUUUCAUCGUUACUUUACCCUAAAAUGCAUGCAACAAUAUAUAUAUACAUGCUCAAAUGAAUGACACAUUAGGCAUAGAGAGAAGUUCAAUGAGUUUGAGAAGCACCACCCACCUUGUAGGUCUCUUUAGGUGCUCCGACGAUUUUCUCGGGAUUUUUAGAUCCUUCGUUCUUUACCUGCGGCAAAACGAAGCCAACUUAGGCCAUUUUGCCCAUAACUUUUCAUCGGCUUUUCGUAACGUUAAUCCGAGCGCACCAACGCGUCGGAAAUACCCCCAAUUAGGUUUUUAGAGGGUCAAUUGCACUUAGAAACCCUCAUGAGCAAAAGCCCCAAUUUGGGUGCCCUAGCUCCAAUAUAUAUCAAAACCUAGGGUUUGAUCUCAUUGGGAAGCAAAAGUAGUUUCAUUAUACUCUAAAUAGUCCAUUAGAACCAUUCUUAGGCUUUCCAAAACCCUAGAUUAGAUUUCACCAUUAGAGGUGGUCCAAGCUCACCUCUAUAGCAAAUCUAGGUUUUGAUCUCUUUAGAAGCAAAAGAAAGCUUCAAAACUCUUUAAAUAUUUCACUAAAACUCAUUUCUAGGUCAUUCAAAACUCAUUCUAGGGUUUUACUAUACUUGGGAUCAAAGCUUACCUCAAAGCUUUCCCAAAGUUGCUCCAAGGAGGAAGGAGAAGAGGUAAGCUUGCUACUUGAUCUUCUUCUUCACCUUCUUUUCCUUCUUUUCCUCCUUUCUUCCUUUCUUCUUAUUCUCCUUCUUGGUCUUCUAGAGAGAGAAAGAGAGGAGAGGGUGUGAGAGGAAGUGGAAUGAGUGGAAAAGCCCCUCAGCCCACUAACAUAGCUUAAUGGGUUGCAAAAAUGCAAUAAAACCCCUCAACUUUCACUUUAAUACACUGCCCGAACUGGGCAGUUUUCGCAGGCAGAGACCGGUCUCCCCGAGCAGGGACCGGUUCCCGAACGUCCACCCUACGCAGCCAGAGCCGCUGCGCGCGAUGCGACCGGUCUCUCUCUGAUGGGACCGGUCUCUGGGGGACCGGUCUCUCAGGAAUAGACCGAUUCCCGAGAGCCGAUCUUCCAGGACUUAGCCGAUUUUUCGGCUGUCUCAUUUCAUACGCGUUCGGGGACCGGUCUCUCCCACCAGGGACCGGUCCCCGAGAGCUGGAAAUCUGCAGUUUUGCAGAAUUUGAUUCUUUAGCUCUCGAAAACCUUCCACAACUCACUUUUAAUCAUUUUAACACCUUCGGACUUUCCGAAGUGUACCGUCCUCGCACUUCGGUCGAUUUGACCUAAGUUCGAUAUUUAUUUUCUGAAUUUUCGGUAUAUUACAUUCUCCACCCCUUAAAAUAAUUUCGUCCGCGAAAUUACGCAUACCUUAACUCGUUGAUUCGAAUAGAUGCGGAUACUCUCUCCGCAUGGACUCCUCGAGCUCCCAAGUGGCUUCCCGCGCCGCAUGGUUGCUCCAUUGGACCUUCACAUAAGGGAUUUUGCGACUCCGCAACUUCCUAACCUCUUUAUCGAGGAUGCACACGGGGUACUCCUCAUAGGACAUGUCUUCACGUAGCUCCACGGGCUCGUAUUCCAAUACAUGUGCCGCGUUUCGGAUAUACUUUCGGAGAUUCGACACAUGGAACACAUUGUGAACUCCCGAGAGUCUCGGUGGUAGUGCGAGCUUAUAUGCCACCGCACCCACACGCUCUAAUAUCUCGAAUGGUCCAACAUAUCGGGGACUCAAUUUCCCACGGACCCCAAAUCGCUUAACUCCUCGCAUUGGCGAUACUCUCAAGAAUACACGGUCUCCAACCGCGAACUCCAAAUCCUUUCUUCGCUUGUCGGCAUAACUCUUUUGCCGAGAUUGCGCCAUCGCCAAUCGUUGACGAGCGAGGCGAACUUUCUC
rnacentral:lncRNA from 1 species